rnacentral:rRNA from 1 species
GAUGAACGCUGGCGGCGUGCCUAAUACAUGCAAGUCGAGCGAAUGGAUUAAGAGCUUGCUCUUAUGAAGUUAGCGGCGGACGGGUGAGUAACACGUGGGUAACCUGCCCAUAAGACUGGGAUAACUCCGGGAAACCGGGGCUAAUACCGGAUAACAUUUUGAACCGCAUGGUUCGAAAUUGAAAGGCGGCUUCGGCUGUCACUUAUGGAUGGACCCGCGUCGCAUUAGCUAGUUGGUGAGGUAACGGCUCACCAAGGCAACGAUGCGUAGCCGGCCUGAGAGGGUGAUCGGCCCCACUGGGACUGAGACACGGCCCAGACUCCUACGGGAGGCAGCAGUAGGGAAUCUUCCGCAAUGGACGAAAGUCUGACGGAGCAACGCCGCGUGAGUGAUGAAGGCUUUCGGGUCGUAAAACUCUGUUGUUAGGGAAGAACAAGUGCUAGUUGAAUAAGCUGGCACCUUGACGGUACCUAACCAGAAAGCCACGGCUAACUACGUGCCAGCCGCCGCCGUAACAC